UGUUAUUCUAUUGCAAAGUCUUUCCCCUCUUGGAAAAGAAACAGCAAGUAGAGGAAAAAGACCCAAUGGAGUAUUUGAAAAGAAUGAGUCAGGGCGAAGCGAGGCUGGACUUGCCCGGAUUCCUCCUGGGACAGCAGAGCCUGCAGCGGUGGCAGUCAGUUCUGACAUUGAACUCUGCCUGCAGCCUGGCACCGAAGCCCUGGAUGUGGCGGUAGAAAAAAGUGCAGUCCAUUUUUUAGCUUGGUGUGGGGUGUUUUUGUUUUGUGGUUGGGUUUUUCCUCCCACUAUGUGCGGCUGACCUCCUCCCUCCUCCACCAGGAGCCUUAACAGGGGCAGCAAAGCAGGGGCAAAUCUUGGUAUGGGCAAAAUACGUGGAUGCCUCGAGCAGCAGGCUCUUGGGGACAGCAAAACCGAUGCUUUUUGCUGCACACUGGCUCUGCCUGCAUUCAGGAAAGCUGGGCGGGUUGCCUCUGCCGCUCUCCACGGAGAGGCUGGGUAGCUGGGGGUAGAUGCUGCUGGUGGCCCAGGAGAGGCCAGGUUGGCUCUCCAUCCCCUCUUGCCCAGCUCUGUCCUUUUCUCCGCUCUCCUCUUUGCCUUCUUUUGGGGCAGGUGACAUUUAAUUCUGUCUUUGUGGCUGAGAAGCCUUGUGCCCUUGUCUUUUUAUCCUGUAGCUGGUCUUCUACCACCAUGGCUUCAACUCCCUGCCCUCCUCUCCUUUCAAAGCAGCAGUUUCUUCCCCCUGCUCCGAAGAAAGGGAAACCUGAUCCAUUUUAAGGGUAAAACCCUGCAGAGGAUUCACCUUCAGGCUGUUUGUGAGCCAAUGGCUUUGAUGCACUUUUUGGCAUCUAAUUAGUUUGCUAAAUUACUAAUGAUGACCCUUUCUGUAAAGGAGACAGUGUGUGGAAAAAAAUUCCUAGAUUCCUUCAAAAUAUGUCCUAGCGGCAUGGCUGCUAAUUGAGCAGGAACAGAGUAGGUUUUGGUGGACAAUGAUGGGGACAGAGCGCUAGCCAAAGUAGUGUCCUCCCAUGGGCUAAAUCCUGAAGUAAAUCCAAGCUCAUUCAUGGGCCUGUCACAUAAAUAAGGAGUGAACCCCUUCACACCAUUGAAAAUCUGAAAAUCACCUCGUUAACAUCAUAGUUUUUAGAACCUGCUAAAGUCAGUGGAAUUUUUUGUAUUAUUUUAUUUUGUUAUGUCUGUGACAGGCCCCUGGUCUGGAUUUGUACCUACGAUUCCAGAAUCUGACCCUAAUUAAGGGUUUCGACGCUAGACCUCUCAGGAUUUUCUACUCCUCCUGUGCAAUCAGAAUUCAAGAUAAUCUGCAGAAAUAUCUACCCUACUUCCACAGACACCAGCCACAGGAUUUGGCCCUAAACUGAGGAAAGCCUGUAUAAAAAAAGAGAGUACAAAGUCCAGUGUAAGGAAAGAAACAAAACAAACCAGCCUAUUCUGUAGCUGUGCACCAGAUGUGCACCUUGUACCAAGGAAUAUGGUUUGAGGUAUUGUCAGGUGGAGCCUUUAACAGCUCCAAUUCAUGAUCUCUACAAGGUCUUAGAGUAGGUGAAGAAGUUACUGCCCAUGGUCAUGUGUGUGCUCUGAGCUGAAGGUUUGGAUCUGACCAGCAUCUCCCACUGCUCAGCCUGAAGAAGCAAGGCACUUACAAGCUGCCUUUCAAGGAGGAGAAGAAAAAUACUCUGUCCUACCUCUUGACAUGAGGUCUGGCUCUGGGCGCUUGAAGUUCACAUCUGGGAAGCUCACGAGUCAGCAGGAAGCAAUCUUUUCUGAAUAUUCUUUGGACGUAGCUUUGUAGUCGAAGAGGUUGGUUGUGAAAUUCUGGAAAGCCCAAUGGUAAUGUUGCUGAUGCCUAGAAGAAAGAGAAAAAUGUCUUUACCAGCAGCAAGUACUGCUCUAAGGUUGAAGAGGAGAGUCUGGGUGCGAAUAUAAUGCUGGCAGCACCACGUCAAACGCAGCAGGUUUGAUAUUCCUUUCCUAUCAAACUCUGACUUCAAGAUGCCGGUUAAUCUUGCUAGUCUCAAGUGCUGAAACAAGAACAUGAUAAUGGCGACUCUGGCGUAAAAAGAAUUUGAUUUUGCUUUUAAUCAUGUGGCUUCUCUAGCCACAUCCGGAGGUUUUCCUCUAGGUUCUGAUGAACCCAGCAUUUGGGCUUGCUUCAAAGCAGACUGCAUAAUGUACAUGUGUAUAUCGACCUGUGUAUUUUAUAGCUAUAAAAUGGGCUGGGGCUGUUAGCUGUGCUCAGUCCGUUGCUCAGCUGGUUAAAAGAAGAUGCAAAACACAAACUGCUACGGCUCCUCAUUUGUCUUUCCAAGCACCGUGCCUUGGCAGUUUGUGGCAACUGCUGGGCAUGUCAUUCGGGCAUAAGGCAGCUGCCUGUCAUCGGGCAGAAAUUGGCAUCACGUAGCUGCUGCCUGGCCACUCAUCUGCGUUCAGCAGUUGGGAAAACACAGCACGGGGUUGGUUCUGCUCCCAUGAAAGUUGGGGGCUAACCCCCACCCCAUUCUUGAGAUCCAUAGGAGCAGGACUCAGAUCAAAAAAUAUUCUUUUAAUAACUAAAGGCCUACUUUCCACAUACUUGAAUUUACAGCACAGUUGGACUAUUUUGAGGGACUAAAGGCACUUUAACUGUCUUUUAAUGCAAUGUAUUUACUAUGGAUUAUCUGCAUGGAAUACAGUCUUAAUAUUAAAAAAAAUAUCUUCCUUUUGGACUGCUUUGUUUUCAAAAUAAAACAUGCAAAGGA